rnacentral:rRNA from 1 species
GACGAACCGUGCGAACGUUAUUCGGAAUCACUGGGCUUAAAGCGCGUGUAGGCGGGACGGCACGUCGGUCGCUGAAAGCCCCCGGCUCAACCGGGGAAGUGGCGCCGAUACGACCGCCCUGGAGGGACGUAGGGGGCCUGGAAUUCCUGGUGUAGCGGUGAAAUGCGCAGAUAUCAGGAGGAACACCGGUGGCGAAGGCGGGUCUCUGGGCCGAUACUGACGCUGGAGGAGCGAAAGCGUGGGGAGCGAACAGG